GCUGUCAAAGUCCGAGGCUCGACUUCGGGAAGGCAGUGGAAACUGAACAGCUAGAGGUCGGAAGGGGCAGAGGGAAUUCCCAGUGUAGCGGUGAAAUGCGUAGAUAUUGGGAAGAACACCGGUGGCGAAAGCGCUCUGCUGGGCCGAACCUGACGCUGAGGGACGAAAGCUAGGGGAGCGAAUGGGAUUAGAUACCCCAGUAGUCCUAGCCGUAAACGAUGGAGACUAGGUGUUGCCUGUAUCGACCCGGGCAGUGCCGAAGCCAACGCGUUAAGUCUCCCGCCUGGGGAGUACGCACGCAAGUGUGAAACUCAAAGGAAUUGACGGGGGCCCGCACAAGCGGUGGAGUAUGUGGUUUAAUUCGAUGCAACGCGAAGAACCUUACCAGGGCUUGACAUCCCGCGAAUCCCGGCGAAAGUUGGGAGUGCCUACGGGAGCGCGGAGACAGGUGGUGCAUGGCUGUCGUCAGCUCGUGUCGUGAGAUGUUGGGUUAAGUCCCGCAACGAGCGCAACCCUCGUCCUUAGUUGCCAGCCUUAAGUGGGGCACUCUAGGGAGACUGCCGGUGAUAAACCGGAGGAAGGUGGGGAUGACGUCAAGUCAUCAUGCCCCAUAUGUCCUGGGCGACACACGUACUACAAUGGUCGGGACAGCGAGCAGCCAACUCGCGAGAGUGAGCUAAUCUCUCAAACCCGGCCUCAGUUCAGAUUGCAGGCUGCAACUCGCCUGCAUGAAGGAGGAAUCGCUAGUAAUCGCAGGUCAGCAUACUGCGGUGAAUCCGUUCCCGGGCCUUGUACACACCGCCCGUCACACCAUGGAAGUCGGCCAUGCCCGAAGUCAUUACUCUAACCGUUCGCGGAGGAGGGUGCCGAAGGCAGGGCUGAUGACUGGGGUGAAGUCGUAACAAGGUAGCCGUACCGGAAGGUGUGGCUGGAUCACCU
rnacentral:rRNA from 1 species